UCAGACGAGUCCCAGGCACUCCAUCCUCUGCAGCAAGUCAGGUUGUGAUUUACUAGGGGGUGGUGAAUAUAAUGGAGAGACUUCUGGGGAGGAAUUCCUGGCUCCCGCGUGGACUUGCAGAGCUCAACAGGCAGCCACGUGGCUGAGUGUCCAGCAAACAUCACAUAAGGCUUUGGGUCCUGCAGGUGGGGCUGCCAUGAGCAGCAAGCUCAGUCCAGAAGAACAGUUCCUCUCCAGGAUCCACUUCCUGCGCACUUUUAUGUGCAGUGUAGCUGGAGCAGAGCUCCCCGGAAUUCCACAGGCAACUGAGAACGGAGAGGGAUGCAGGCCAGCCAGGGAUCCAGCGUCUUCCCCAUCGUCACUCUCCAUGGCCUCCGUCUACACACAGUGUUCGUCUGCACAGCUUGUCAGCGCGUUAUCAUGACUUCUAUUUGGCACCGGCCCGUCUGUCCACUGUCCUGGCUUGUUCCAAGCGCUGCCUUCUCCAACUGGGGUCCUGGCUGCAGAGCUGUCUGCUCCCCACGUUGGGCAACUCCAGCCAAGAUUCCUACACCCAAAUGUGACCGUGUUGCUCACGAAGAAGGCUCAGCUUUGCGUGUGCCCAGCCGUGUGCACAGCUCGUCCCAACUCCUGCGGGUGGCACCUGCCUCUCCCACCUCCAGUCUUUCCCCUGUGAUGAGCAGAUGACCACCGCCCUCCAGGGUCAGCGUUUGGCUGUUUGUGUGCCUGCCCACCCGCCUCCCUGUGCCUGGGCCUGCCCUGUGCCUGCACACAGGAGUGGCUCAUGGCGUUUGCCCUACACGGAUGGGCUGUCCUGGGAGCUACUGGACAGUCACCUUGGUGGGAAUGCCAGAGGCAUGGGCAUUAGGUCCCCCCGGCCAGCCUCCGUUGCCACAUGGGCUAUUUUUGUCCAUCGCGUGGGACAACCUAGUAUUGGGGGAAAACUCAGUCCACUCUAAAGAAGCAUCGGCGUUUUGGAUGGACGAAUGCUGCUUCAUGCGACUCCAUGUCAAUGGACUAUUUUAUUCAACUCGGGUAUUUAUGAGUGUCUCCUCUGUGCCAGCCACGUGUGAAAGAAGAACUCCAAGUUACUGGACACCAGGACAAACCAGGGUCUCUCUCUGUCACCCAGGCCUCAGUGCAGUGGUGCAAUCAUGGCUCACUACAGCCUCGACCUCCCAGGCUCAAGUGAUCCUCCCACCUCCAGUCUCCCAAGUAGCUGGGACUAUAGGCACAUGCCACCACACCCUGUUUCACCAUGUUGGCUAGGCUGAUCUCAAACUCCUUGGGCUCAAGCGAUCCUCCCACCUUGGCUUCCCAAAGUGCUGGAAUUACAGGAGUCUCGCUGUGUCACCCAGGCUGGAGUGCAGUGGUGUGAUCUUGGCUUACUGCAACCUCUGCCUCCCAGGUUCAAGUGAUUCUCCUGCCUCAGCCUCCCAAGUACCUGGGACUACAGAUCUUUAGAUAAGCACUCUUUCAACCAAAUGCCAAUCAGAAAAUCUUUGAAUCCACCUGUGAGCUGGAAGCCCCGCUGUGCUUUGUGUUGUCCUGCCUUUUCGGACCAAUGUAAAUCUCACAUGUACUGAUUGAUGCCUACAUCUCCUUAAAACGUAUAAAAUCAAGCUGUAACCCAACCACCUUGGGCAUGUGUUCUGAGGACCUCUUGAGGCUGUGUCACUGGUCAUGAUCCUUAACCUUGGCAACAUAAACUUCUAAACUGAUUGAGAUCUGUCUCAGACACUUUUUGGUUUACAAAAGGACUAAUUCAAAUACAGUUUUAUCUUCCAACAUAAGAAAACCUAGAAUGAAUGACUCAAAGGUUGUAGAGGGUUAAACAACCUCUCCAACGUGCAAACCUCUGCCUUAUAAUUCCUAAGUAUUUCUGACUGUAGAUGGUACUAGGAUAGGAUCAUUUUACCAUGGAAAUGAAACCCGUGUCCUUUCCUUUGGGUUAAUCUUGAAUCCCUGGUGAAGUGAAGGCAGUCUCUAAGAGGAGUGCAGUCCAUCCAACUGCUGCAGUGCUCCUGUGUACUACUGGGACCAUCCCGGAGAGUGGCAGACACGAUGCGAACCGUGAAAGGACGCAAAGAGUACAGAGUGCAUGCUUCCAUCUCUAUAGGAAGGUCAGGAACGCUGUUACGGGGAGCAGGGUUAGAAUGAUGGGGAUAUAGCCCGGGAAGGGGCAGAGGAGCUUUCUGUGCCACGGGAAAUGUCCUAAAUCUCAACCAGGACACGGUUAGAUAAAAGUGCAAAUAUGGGUGAAAAUUCAUUAAAGCUGUAUAGUUAA
rnacentral:lncRNA from 1 species